rnacentral:rRNA from 1 species
UACAGAGGUCUCAAGCGUUGUUCGGAUUCAUUGGGCGUAAAGGGUGCGUAGGCGGCGCGGUAAGUCGGGUGUGAAAUCUCGGAGCUUAACUCCGAAACUGCAUUCGAUACUGCGGUGCUUGAGGACUGGAGAGGAGACUGGAAUUCAUGGUGUAGCAGUGAAAUGCGUAGAGAUGUGGAGGAACACCGAUGGCGAAGGCAGCCCCCCUGGGCUAACACUGACGCUCAGGCACGAAAGCGUGGGGGAGCAAACAGG